UGGCUCAGUAGGUAGAGCAACUGACUUGUAAUCAGUAGGUCACCAGUUCGAUUCCGG
rnacentral:tRNA from 1 species